rnacentral:lncRNA from 14 species
GAUCUCAAGAGCAAAAUCUUCUCUAACUGAAAGAACACUAUGCUGUCACUGAGGCUAAACAGUGAAGUGCCGGACAAAAUCCUGACGACUGGAAGAUUUUGUUGGGAACUUUUGUCUGCUGAUGUCAAUCAUCCUGUAUGGAAUGCUGCUUGGUGUCCAGGGUGCUUGGUUGCUCUAGCUGUUUUGAAGACAGGUCGAGUAGCAUGCUCAGAAUAUAAAAAAGGCUGCUCUGGUGCAAGUGGAAGUGAAAAACUGACAUUCAUGUGCGAGCAUACUACACUAACCUUCAAACUAAGGCUGGUCUGCUCCUCCCUCAAGCCCCCUUGAAGCUGAAGUGCUAUGACAACAUAUCAAGGCAAUCUCCACUCAUGCUUGCUCUGCUGGACCAUCACAAAGCAGCUGAAAUGUACUAGCCAAUUCAACCUUUGGAGGUUAUUGGCCAAGUGGCUGCACAGGACUCUGUAAUGCCAUACUUGAUAAAGAAAACAAAAUUUAAGGAGGCAGGUCAAGUGAGCUGGUCUGUUCUCAGUAUUUCUGUGCAAACUGUUUCUUACCGUGCCACACAUAUACUGAGCUAUUUCACAGAAUAAACCACUGAACAUCUAACCCA